UUACUUACGCUUGGAUAAAGAGAUUUACAAGCCCAAGUUAAAGUCGCUGCUGUCAGUUGUCGAUUGACCGAAAAACUUCUUGAGUGCGGGAAUCAUUAUGGGUUGUCCCUCCUUCUCUCAUCGCCCAGUUGAGGCACAACAAUGACCAGUUGCGAUAUCGGUUAAAAGAGAACAAAAAGCCUAUGAAGAAACUACUAGGAAGAAAAGAUAUCCGUGAUUGGAUCAUGCGCAAAAUUGACAAUGAAGUCGAUUACCAAGAAGGCAUAGUGAGGGUGAAUGCUCCGCAGUUUCUUUUGUCUCAAGAGCCGAUGGUACUCUCGGACACAACAACAGCUGGAGAUGUCGUUCUUAAGUUAGUUGAACGAGGUAUUCAGAAAUUUGACUCAACUCCUUUCAAACUUGGUCGUCGUGACAUUAAGUCUCGAGCUCUCUCCGAGCUUGCUCCCAACGGGAAUUUAAGCUGUUUACUGACUACAGCAGAUCCAGAUAUGGCCUUGGCAACUCACUUUUUGUACGAAGUCGGUGGCAAUAUUGGUCAACGCCGCAUAGAACAGUCUGCCAACAUGCUCACAGUUUACCAAGAAAAUCCUAAUGCUCAAUGGUACCUCCGAUGCGAUCACAAAAUGGGAACAAACAACUGCUAG
rnacentral:lncRNA from 1 species